ensembl:lncRNA
GUCACAGUCUUGGAGGUCCUGUUCGGGCCGUCGAGUGGCACAGCUGAGAUUUCUGAUCGUAAUCUGAAACGGAAAUAGCUGCUAUUUAGGAGACGUAACCGUUUCCACUAUCGCGUUUUACCUACCCGUAAAAUGCAAAUUUAUCGCUAAUUUCAAUAGCUGUUUCGUCAGAGACUGUGAGGAAUGGGCUGAUUAAUAAAUAUACCCUAGAGAUAAAUUAUCCCUUCGAAUAAGGUUAUCGGCGUUAAAAUUGUAAAAGUACUUUCCAGACGUGAAAAAUUAGCCUUGAUUGAAUCUGAAGGAAAUCAGAUGUGCGAGAGUGAUCGAAACGUGCUAAGAUAGAGGAUCUUGCCGGAGUUUAAACGCCGUCGCGGCGGAGAUGAGAUCGAUAGAGGAGAGGAAGGAAGGAAAUGGAUGCUAUCUGUCCGAGGGCGCUCCCGCAGCCUCCUCUCCCGCCCACCCAUCUCCGACGGUACCUUCCGCCGCCCGCGGCCGCCGGGCCACGCACGCCACCGCCACCGGUGCGACGGCUCCGGCGAGGCCCGCGGGAGCAGAGCCAGUGGCCGCGCGUUCCCGCCGAGGAGACCCUGACCCUUUGCUCCGCACUGCUCCGCAUCUCUCCGCGCCGCACAGAGGGGUGCGCGCAGCCUGCCGCUCUACGGCGGAUGGACAGAUCGCCCGGAUUGUUUUUAUUUUUAGAGGAAUGCCCCUUGUUGUUGAUUUUUUUACUCCUCCCUAGAUUUCUGUAGGUUAUGUGGCAUGUUGUUUUCAUUUCUUGAUUUUUUGAAAUAACUAUUUGGAUUUAAAUUUAUCGAACAACCUGUUAUCCAUAUGUCUGUCCGAUUAAUUUUUUUAUAGGAUGAUGAAAGAGAGAAGAAUCUAUAUAUAUAGUGAUCUCUAAUGGAAUAAUAUAUAUAUAUAUAUAUCCAAAACACCUUUCUGGGGUUACUUUUAUUUCCGGACUUUAAAAUGCAGUCUGGGUGUUUAGGCAAUUGGUGAGGCAGUGCUUAUUUGAUGUAGGAGAGUAACAUAUUUAGACUUCAGGAGGGAAAAAUACAUUGUUUUUCACUAGAAAGAUAUUUUCCUAUCCUCCCUUCGAAAAUCUUGAGGGGCAUUUACAGGAAGGUUAUGGCCAUGUUCUGCCAUUCACAGUGUGAUUUUUGCAAAUCUUUUUCGAACAUUGAAGCCAGACGCCACCAGAGAGUAAAAUAUCCAUAGGGUCCUUUUCCCUUCAAAGACGUGAUUUUCUGUAACUACCCAGCAGGGAUCCUUAGAAGCGGUCACUAAGGAAAACAUAUUUAUAUCAUUAGCCUCUUCUUCCCUCCGCCCCCCAAGUGAGCCUAAUCGUCUUCACUAAGGAGACGUGGCGUGUAAAACUGACAGCGAGGAGCUGACGGCGGCUAGUCAGUCAAACAUUAUCAACCCCAGAAAAAAUUAUAGGCGCAGGUUAGGUAGUCUGUAAACCCUUUUUCUGUACAUCCCAAGUGCACCUUCGCCCUCGUCCCUCUCCCUUGCCCUUGUUUGCGGCUGAGCGUGUGUCGAGGGCCAAUUAGCACUUCCAACUCUCCUGUAACAGGGUGAACAGCAAGCUUAGAACGACUGUCCCAGCGAUACUGAUGACCCUCAAAAGGGUUGAGAGAAGGUUAAGCAUGGCUUAAUUUUAAAAGAGGCAGGAAAGUCCCCUGGAGCGCUCACGUCCCGCUCCCCCGGAGAUUCUCCGGCCGGGCUGCUGUCGGCGCUGCCAGGUGGGCUGCAGCCCGAAGGAAGAGGUGGCACUAGGGAGCCGGCAGGAACGGUCGCAUUGAGCGGCGGCGGGGAGCUCUUUUUUGGUUUCCGAU